AUGUCUUGCUCAUUGCUGCAUCUCCAGUACCUGGCACAGUGCUUGGCACCAAGUAUCUGCUGCUACUUGUCAAUUGCAUGAAUGAAUUAUUAUAUACAUUUCUCACAAGCUAUUUGGGGGCUUGGUGCUGGACAUCAAGCGGAAGGCCCCCUGGUACUGGAGCGACUACCGAGAUGCACUCAGCUUACAGUGUUUGGCUUCCUUUCUGUUCCUGUACUGUGCCUGCAUGUCACCUGUCAUCACCUUUGGGGGACUGCUUGGAGAAGCCACUGAGGGACGCAUAAGUGCAAUUGAAUCCUUGUUUGGAGCUUCCAUGACUGGGAUUGCUUAUUCCUUGUUUGCGGGACAGGCUCUCACCAUCCUGGGAAGUACUGGACCAGUGCUUGUGUUUGAAAAGAUUUUGUUCAAAUUCUGCAAAGACUAUGCUCUUUCAUACCUCUCCCUGCGAGCUUGUAUUGGACUGUGGACCGCUUUCCUGUGUAUUGUCCUUGUGGCAACUGAUGCCAGUUCCCUUGUCUGCUACAUUACCCGUUUCACUGAAGAAGCAUUUGCCUCCCUAAUUUGCAUUAUUUUCAUCUAUGAAGCAAUAGAAAAACUGAUUCACCUGGCAGAGACCUACCCCAUCCACAUGCACAGCCAGCUGGACCACCUUAGCCUCUAUUAGUAAGUGUGCUUUCUGCUUAUUUUUAAAAAUUGAGCAAAGGGCCUGAG
rnacentral:sRNA from 1 species